rnacentral:rRNA from 1 species
UACGUAGGGGGCAAGCGUUGUUCGGAAUUACUGGGCGUAAAGGGCGCGUAGGCGGCACGGCAAGUCAGGAGUGAAAGCCCUGGGCUCAACCCGGGAACUGCUUUUGAAACUGCCGAGCUAGAGUGCGGAAGGGGCAACUGGAAUUCCCAGUGUAGCGGUGAAAUUCGUAGAUAUCGGGAGGAACACCAGUGGCGAAGGCGGCACUCUGGGCCGGUACUGACGCUGAGGAGCGAAAGCGUGGGGAGCAAACAGG